AAAAUAAGUUUUAGUGAAUUCACACUUCAAACAUUACAAAUGAACAAAUCUAUGUAAAAUUCUUAAAAUUCCAAAAGACUGUCCAAGCAAACAUGACAAAGCUACAUUUAUAUCCAUCCUAUAAUAGAUUGUGCAAAAGCUAUCAAAAAUAUUUAUAUAGUAUACAAGCAACGCCAAUAAAAUUCAACAGUCAAUUGAUGGCAUCACCUCCAAGUAAAGAAAGCCAGUGUUCUCCAUCAAUAACUUCAUCAAACAAUCAGUUUAAUUUUUUAGAAAUCCAAACAAACUCAACUUUUAAUUUCUCACAAAACCCAACUCGUCAAAACCUAAUCAAGCAAGCAAUCUGUGAGUCAAGCAAGCAUGCAAAAACCCCUCUUCAUGAAAUUGCUGGUGAUGUUUUAAGAAGGGUGCUGUUGAAGACAGCUUCAACCAAGAUGCACACGUAGAAUCCAUUGUGGCAUUGCAUACAUAAAGUAUAAUUAAAAUGGGCCAGCUAAGGGUCAA
rnacentral:misc_RNA from 1 species